UACAGAGGGGGCAAGCGUUGUUCGGAAUUAUUGGGCGUAAAGAGUUCGUAGGCGGUCUGUCGCGUCGGCUGUGAAAUCCCGAGGCUCAACCUCGGGUCUGCAGUCGAUACGGGCAAACUAGAGUAUUGCAGGGGAGACUGGAAUUCCUGGUGUAGCGGUGAAAUGCGCAGAUAUCAGGAGGAACACCGGUGGCGAAGGCGGGUCUCUGGGCAAUAACUGACGCUGAGGAGCGAAAGCGUGGGGAGCGAACAGG
rnacentral:rRNA from 1 species